rnacentral:rRNA from 1 species
AUUGAACGCUGGCGGCAGGCCUAACACAUGCAAGUCGAGCGGAUGAAGGGAGCUUGCUCCUGGAUUCAGCGGCGGACGGGUGAGUAAUGCCUAGGAAUCUGCCUGGUAGUGGGGGAUAACGUCCGGAAACGGGCGCUAAUACCGCAUACGUCCUGAGGGAGAAAGUGGGGGGUCUUCGGACCUCACGCUAUCAGAUGAGCCUAGGUCGGAUUAGCUAGUUGGUGGGGUAAAGGCCUACCAAGGCGACGAUCCGUAACUGGUCUGAGAGGAUGAUGAGGCACACGGGAACUGGGCCGCGGUCCAGACUCCUAGGGGAGGCCGCAGUGGGGACUAUUGGACAAUGGGGGAAAGCCUGAUCCAGCCAUGCCGCGUGUGUGAAGAAGGUCUUCGGAUUGUAAAGCACUUUAAGUUGGGAGGACGGGCAGUAAGUGAAUACCUUCCUGUUGUGACGUUACCAACAGAAUAAGCACCGGCUAACUUCGUG